rnacentral:rRNA from 1 species
UACGUAGGUGGCAAGCGUUGUCCGGAAUUAUUGGGCGUAAAGCGCGCGCAGGCGGUUCCUUAAGUCUGAUGUGAAAGCCCACGGCUCAACCGUGGAGGGUCAUUGGAAACUGGGGAACUUGAGUGCAGGAGAGAAGAGUGGAAUUCCACGUGUAGCGGUGAAAUGCGUAGAGAUGUGGAGGAACACCAGUGGCGAAGGCGACUCUUUGGCCUGUAACUGACGCUGAGGCGCGAAAGCGUGGGGAGCAAACAGG